AGUAAAUGCUGGUGUUGGUUGACCUUUUCUGAACACCCCUCAUAGAUUGGAGUCGCUUAUACGACGGGAAUGUUCAAUUUUAUCUGUGGCAGUGGCUCUAUACUAAUUCUGGCAUCGAUAUUCCGCACAAAUAUUGCAGGUGGCUACAAUUUUCAUGAUGAAGAUAAAAAUAGGACGUGUAUUCCUGCUGAAGAUGAACCCGACACAAUAAACUCAAAGUUAUGUUAUCCAUUGGUAAAUUUU